UUAAGUAUGCAGCUAUAAAUUAAGGAUUAGCUGAGUAAUAAAAUGUAACUAUGAUUUUUAUGGCCACAUGGGAGAAGAAUAAGUUUACGACUUUUCUUAGAAUACGUCCACUACCACGCUCCGAUAAGGAACAAUGCUCCUGCAUUGUAUAAAUACUCCGACUGGAGACCCAACCAUCAUUCUUCACUGUGAGGCCGGGACUACCUGAUCCCUUCAGCUCAGGUUAGAGCUGUAAUAGCCAACAGAAAAAAAGUCAAUAUAAAAAAAACGGCCAUUAUUCUUCUAUUGACCGCGGCAUAGACGUCAAAUAAACGUCUCAUAAAAACUGUGAGUUCAACUCCAUACCGGCUAUUCAACCUCCCUGCACUCUGCUACUACGAGGACCAAUCAGCAACUAGAAGUUGGACUUCGAACACCUGAGUCAUCGCAUCGACAGUCCAAUCAUCGCAUCAAGAGACGUUGAGCAACGUAAUUAUUGGUUUGGAACCCAGGAGGAACACCGUCAGACCUCUAUACAACUGAGACCCGGACAUACCACAACACUGAGACGAAUCACCCACCAACAUUUAACUGUCGACUAUCAGGACGUGGCGCUGCUCAAGCAGUAUUGUCUCAACAAUAAAUGCACAAUGAAAAAAAAAACGGUGAAUUAGAAGUGAUUGAAACGGCAAGAAAAAACCGGAAAGAAGAAAUCAUCCAGGCCAAGCGGUAACAAACAGGACAGCACGCAGAGGACCUGGUGGAAAGGGCCGAGGCUUCUUCAACCUACCUACAUCACCGGGCAGCAGAACUAAGGGAACGGAAGCACAACUCGUCUGGUGGUGCCAUAUCGUCAUCAUCAUCACGGACCAUCAUCGGCAACCCCUGGAAAGCGGACUUCGAACAUCCGACUAACCUUCCACGGUUCUACGGGUUUACAGUCCUUGUAUCGAGCGACGUGUCAGUAAAAUUAAGAUAUCUGUAAAUCUUUGUAUGAAAGCUGUAUAUAAAGCUGACUUCGUUGAAUCGUUAUGAACUGCUUAUAUAAUAUAAAGAAAAUUUGUAACAGUUUUAUUUUGCAAUAUAUUGUUAAUUCUUAGUUAAAAGUAGGGUUAGACAAUUUUUAAAAAUAUUUUUUUGUCAUGAUAAUGAUGAUGAUUAUUAUAAAAUAAAACGAUAGAUUCA